UACGGAGGAGGCAAGCGUUAUCCGGAAUUAUUGGGCGUAAAGCGUCCGCAGGUGGCACUUCAAGUCUGUCGUCAAAGACUGGGGCUUAACCCUGGAAAGGCGGUGGAAACUGAAGCGCUAGAGUGCGGUAGGGGUAGAGGGAAUUCCCGGUGUAGCGGUGAAAUGCGUAGAGAUCAGGAAGAACACCGGUGGCGAAAGCGCUCUGCUGGACCUUAACUGACACUGAGGGACGAAAGCUAGGGGAGCGAAUGGG
rnacentral:rRNA from 1 species